GCGAAGUAGAAGAAUGUUGUUGCCUACUGAAUUUUUUUUUUUUUAGACUUCUAAAGACUUUACCGAGUCAUUUCAGCUUCGCCAAAGGCUCGUGGAAGAAAGGGCUGAGGAUACUCAAUUGGAGAUGGAGAAAUUGUUAGCUUAUGUAAAAUUACAAGAAGAUGAGGUUAAUACACAGAAGAAUUUAGUUCUUGAGGAACAACAGAUGUUUCAGAAACUUGAAGAGGAAUUUAAAGAAGAAACAAAAAAACUAAAAGAAAAGGAGGCUCUGGAGAAAUUUCCAGAGCUGGAAAAAAGAUCUGAAUAUUUCAUAAAAAUCUCUCUUCAGAUCAAGAAUCAGUUUGAUAGCAAGAAAGCUGUAAUAGCCCAGUGGCUUCCUGACAUUUCUCCCCAGGAAGCCAAUAACAUCAAAAGGCUUCAAACAGAAGAUGAGCGUAUAAGUAACAGCCUCUACAACUCGUUGAACAAACUUCAGUACUUGUUUAGCUGCUUGUGCGACAAAAGAAAGGAAUACUACACAAACGUCAGCAAGUACACAAGGGAGCUGCUUGAUGAGCGAAAAAAUCAACAUGCACAGCGAAUGCAAAUUCAGGAACUCGGAAAGCCUCACUUGAAACAGCAGGGACCUGGAUCGCAGCAGCCUGGUCUCUCUGAACUGAUGCAGAGCUUGGAUGGUCUCACUGAGGUAAUGGUUUUCCAAAGAUUGCCUGCUUGGGACUGGAGUUGGGGAAAGCAA
rnacentral:lncRNA from 1 species